CUUGGUUCUGCCUUGGUUCUGCUGUCUCUGUUAGAUUAGGACCUUGUUGCUUUUAUUCCACUUUUUCUUCAUUAAUGUCUCGGGUUUUGUGUUUUACCCUCCGAUACACCGUUUCCUGCCAUUGUGUGUCACAGACACAGACGGCCCCUGGCCUCCUUACAGAGGGUCCCUCCCACCUCCAGCCCCUCACACACACACACACACACACACACACACACACACACACACACACACACACAUACAUACACAGGGCUCAUUUCUUCCUCCACUCACUCAGACUCUGAGGGAUUGUAAAGUUGCAGAGACAAACAGAGAGAGCCGGACUCAGUCCAUUCCCUCGUUCACUUUCUGUCUAUAUCUGCUGGAUGCUGUCUGUGUCUCUCUCUCUCUCUCUCUCUCUCUCUCUCUCUCUCUCUCUCUCUAUCCUGGACGCUGUCUCGAUCUCUCGGAUUAGGACGUGGAAUAUGAACCCUGGACUCUGAGACCCUGUGGGAGUACACCCUCUGAGCUGAAUAAAGAUCUGCCUGUACAGCGCUUCAGCUCCAAAUUCCCACUUGGAAAGUUGGAGCUGUUUGAGAGCUCUGAUUUCUCUGAGCGUAACAUGUGAAAAGGAAGAAGAAGACGAAAUAACAGACAGACAAGGAGACGACACAGCACCUGAAUUCACCUUUAUUUCUGAGUUCAGAUGCCUGAGUUUGCCGCAAUGCUCUAAUGUGGGAAGUAGGAGGGCCCGAGUUGGAAAAUUCUGAGAUCUCAGUUGUUGUGAAUGCAGCAUAGCUCCUUAGCCCCGCCUCUUUUCCUUAAAAUUGUAUAGUUGAUGUAGACACAGUUUUCACCUUUUAAAAAAGUCUUUUUUCCUUAAAAUGAUGUACAACAAGCAAAUAAAGGAUACCCAUAAUGCCCUGCGGCACUUAAAGGCAACACACACACAGCUGAAUCAUCAAACUAUUUCCCCCAAUAUCACUGCUGAGGUUUCUCCAGUGUGAGGAAGUUUUCAUGGCCUCAAUGUGGAGAAAUUGAUGUCAGUGUUUCCUUGCGUGUAUUUAGUGUGUAUUUAGCCUGUGUUUAGUGUGUGUUUAGCAUGUGAUUAGCGUGUUGUUUAGUGUGUAUUUAGCAUGUAUUUAGAGGGUGUUUAGCUUGUGUUUUGCAUGUGUUUAGUGUGUAUUUAGCAUGUGAUUAGCGUGUGUUUAGUGUGUGUUUAACGUGUGUUUUAGUGUGUAUUUAGCAUGUGUUUAGUGUGUGUUUAGUGUGUAUUUAGCAUGUGAUUAGCGUGUGUUUAGUGUGUAUUUAGCAUGUGUUUAGUGUGUGUUUAGUGUGUAUUUAGCAUGUGUUUAGUGUGUGUUUGUUGUGUAUUUAGCAUGUGUUUAGCGUGUGUUUAGUGUGUAUUUAGCAUGUGUUUAGUGUGUGUGUGUAUUUAGCAUGUGUUUAGUGUGUGUUUAACGUGUGUUUAGUGUGCAUGUGUUUAGCGUGUGUUUAGUGUGUGCAUUUUUAGCGUGUGUUUAGUGUGUAUCUAGUGUGUAUUAGCAUGUGAUUAGCGUGUGUUUAGUGUGUAUUUAGCGUGUGAGUGCGUUUAGCGUCGCGUUUAGCAUGUGUUUAGCGUGUGUUUAGCGUGUGUUUAGCGUGUGUAUUUAGCGUGUGAUUAGCGUGUGUUUAGCGUGUGUUUAGCGUUUAGCGUGUUUAGCGUGUGAUUAGCGUGUGUUUAGCGUGUGAUUAGCGUGUGUUUAGCGUGUGUUUAGCGUGUGUUUAGCGUGUGUUUAGCGUGUGUUUAGCGUGUGUUUAACGUGUGUUUAGCGUGUGUUUAGUGUGCGUUUAGCGUGCGUUAGUGUGCGUUUAACGUGCGUUUAGCAUGCGUCCUAGGACUCAGCUCAUCACAGAUGCUGGUCAGGUCGUUACUUUGUGCUCUGUAGUUUCUAAUUUGUAGUUUAAUUUCACUUUGUGGUAUUAUUACCCUGCAUGUGUAAAGAGACGGAAUCUGAUGUGCGCUGUACUGCUCCUGAAUCCAGGUUUAGGAUUAGACCAGGAGAACAUGUUGUGUUCCAGCGGAACCUUAAGCAGAAGUUCCACCUCAUCAUGAUAACACACAGAUGAAUCGUACUGUUUGGAGUUUUAACUUUUUGAAUGUUUGUUGAGGUUUUUUUUUGCGUGUUUCGCCUUCUCUAACAUUCGAUGCGCAGCUCUUAACGUUGUUCUCGAGGAGUUUGAUGUAACGGUGAUGUUAAUGUCACUGUGCUGGUGUGAUCAUACGAUUGUUUUCAAAUCAUUUCCCACAGCACUGUUCAUGUGGAGAUGAUUCAAAACGAAAUAUCUGUACACGUGUGGACGAGGCCUCAGACACAUAGUAAGAGAAAAGUGGACACCAACUGAUGAUGUCAUCAAUGCCUAUGAUGUGAGAGUGACCUAAACAACCCAGCAACAAUCCCCCUAAUCCUGUAAUAUAAUAUAAUACAGACAGCUGCUUGAUAAUAGUUUUGGUUCUCUAUCACCAGUCGUGACUCACGUG
ensembl:lncRNA